GGACCUGUAAUCCAAUUGGCAGAGAUAGCAGAUUCAAAAUCUGUAAAAUGUUGGUUCGAAUCCAACUAGGUCCA
rnacentral:tRNA from 1 species